UACGUAGGGGGCAAGCGUUGUCCGGAAUCAUUGGGCGUAAAGCGCGUGUAGGCGGUCCGGGUAAGUCCGCUGUGAAAGUCGGGGGCUCAACCUCGGAUGCCGGUGGAUACUGUCGGGCUAGAGUGCGGGAGAGGCGAGUGGAAUUCCUGGUGUAGCGGUGAAAUGCGCAGAUAUCAGGAGGAACACCGGUGGGCGAAGGCGGGGUCUC
rnacentral:rRNA from 1 species